GACGAACGCUGGCGGCGUGCUUAACACAUGCGAGUCGAACGGUGAAGGGAUCAGCUUGCUGGUUCUGGGUGAGGGGCGAACGGGUGAGUAACACGUGUGUAACCUGCCCCCUUCUUCUGGAUAACCACAUGAAAGGGGGGCUAAUACGGGAUAUUCUCCGCCUGCUGCAUGGGGGUUGUGGGAAAGAUGUUGUUGCGGUGGGAGUUGGGCUCGCUGCCUAUGAGCUUGUUGGUGGGGUGUUGGCCUACCUAGGCGGGGACGGGCAGCCGGCGGGAGAGUGGCGGGGCUGAGAGGGGGACUGGGACACGGGCCACACUCCUACGGGCGGGAGCAGUGCGGGAGACUGCAGAGGGGGCGCAAGCCUGAUGCAGCGACGCCGGGUGAGGGAGGGAGGCCUUCGGGUUGUGAACCUCUUUCGCCAGUGAAGCAGGCCUGUCCGAUGUGGGUGGGUUGACGGUAGCUGGAUAAGAAGCGCCGGCUAACUACGUG
rnacentral:rRNA from 1 species